CGGACGGGUGAGUAACGCGUAAAGAACUUGCCCUUUAGACUGGGAUAACAGAGGGAAACUUCUGAUAAUACUGGAUAAGUUAGUAUAUCGCAUGAUAUGCAAAUGAAAGCUACGGCACUAAAGGAGAGCUUUGCGUCCUAUUAGCUAGUUGGUAAGGUAAGAGCUUACCAAGGCGAUGAUAGGUAGCCGGCCUGAGAGGGUGGACGGCCACAUUGGGACUGAGAUACGGCCCAGACUCCUACGGGAGGCAGCAGCG
rnacentral:rRNA from 1 species